rnacentral:tRNA from 1 species
GGGGACUUAGCUCAGUGGUAGAGCACUUGCCUAGCAAGCGCAAGGCCCUGGGUUCGGUCCCCAGCUCCA